AUUGAACGCUGGCGGCAGGCCUAACACAUGCAAGUCGAACGGUAGCACAGAGAGCUUGCUCUCGGGUGACGAGUGGCGGACGGGUGAGUAACGUCUGGGAAACUGCCCGAUGAAGGGGGAUAACUACUGGAAACGGUAGCUAAUACCGCAUAACGUCGCAAGACCAAAGUGGGGGACCUUCGGGCCUCACACCAUCGGAUGUGCCCAGAUGGGAUUAGCUAGUAGGUGGGGUAAUGGCUCACCUAGGCGACGAUCCCUAGCUGGUCUGAGAGGAUGACCAGCCACACUGGAACUGAGACACGGUCCAGACUCCUACGGGAGGCAGCAGUGGGGAAUAUUGCACAAUGGGCGCAAGCCUGAUGCAGCCAUGCCGCGUGUAUGAAGAAGGCCUUCGGGUUGUAAAGUACUUUCAGCGGGGAGGAAGGCGGUGAAGUUAAUAGCUUCACCGAUUGACGUUACCCGCAGAAGAAGCACCGGCUAACUCCGUGCCAGCCGCCGCCGUAA
rnacentral:rRNA from 1 species